rnacentral:lncRNA from 1 species
AAAGAAAUAUUUUUAAAAUAUCACAAAUAAAAAUCUUAAGUAAAUCCUAAUCAAAUCUUAAUAUAAUCUUUAAAAAUCCUAAUCAAAUCCUACAUCAAACCUAAUCAAAUCUUAAACCAAAACUUCAUAAAAUCCUAAUAAAAUCCUUUCCAAAAUCUAAUCAAAUCCUAAUUAAAUCCCAAAAAAAUUCUAAUCAAACCUUAAAUUCUAAACUUAGACCAAAUUCUAAUAAAAUUUUAAAUCCUAAUCAAAUCCUAAUCAAAUCUAAAAUUUUAGUAAAAUUCUAAUCGAAUCCUAAUUAAAUC